GACGAACGCUGGCGGCGUGCUUAACACAUGCAAGUCGAGCGGCGCGGCGAAGGGGUGAGUAACGCGUGAGUAACUGCCCCCCUCUCUGGGAUAACAGAUGGAAACGGCUGCUAAUCCCGGAUAGUGGGGGAUGACUCGCGGCCUAUCAGCUUCUUGGUGGGGUAGUGGCCUACCAAGGCGACGACGGGUACCCGGCCUGGGGGGGGGACCGGCCACAUUGGGCUGAGAGACGGCCCAAACUCCAACGGGAGGCAGCAGUGGGGAAUAUUGCACAAUGGGGGAAACUCUGAUGCAGCAACGCCGCGGGCGGGAUGACGGCCUUCGGGUUGUAAACCGCUUUCAGCCAUGACGCGGUAGUGGCAGAAGAAGCACCGGCUAACUACGUGCCAGCAGCCGCGGUAAUAC
rnacentral:rRNA from 1 species